UCACCGGCCUCUUUUCCUGCAGAGAGCAAGAAAAUGAGCAGGGCGUCAGUCUAGAGGAUGUCAAGGAGGAAGGUGAAGAUGAUCAAGAUGAUGCUGAUGAAAACCUCUACCGGUAUUUACACAACAAACGACACUAAGGAGAUUUUUGUUUGUUUGCUGUUUUAACACAGAGGAAUCCAAAUUGGUGGCCUCGGAGGACAGUCUACGUCCAGGGGCUUGAACCAACGCAGAUGUGAAAAGAAAAUAAUAUGUGCAGAGAAGAGAACCAAGUAGAAAACGGAGGUUCCCUUGGCACUGGACACAACUACCCCUCACAGCCCCCCUCCCCCUUCCCGCUCGGUAUAAGAACGAACUGUGUUACCCAGUGACCUCACAACUCAGUCAAUCGCUGGUCUUCUGCCACUGCUGGGAUGUUGUAUCCCUCUCAGCCCAGGCUGGCCCUGACUGGCAGAGUCGGAAGCCCGCCUCCCAAGCGGUCUAAAAUGUGUCGACGAGGGUGUAAAACAGCUACAUGUUUAAACAAACUUGUCUUUCGCCAAUACAGCAGUGCAAUCUGCAGCAGUCACGGUGUGUCUGAAACUGAU